rnacentral:lncRNA from 10 species
AUUAUGAGGAAAGAAGCUCUCAGCAUUCCAAAGCAGAAGGAACAACUGUCUUGAAUAUGUCGAAAAUUGCUGUCUUUAAGAUGAAGCACCCAGAGGACCACAAUCCUCGGAUUUUAUGAGAAGACCUUCUGCCCUGCCUGCCCUUUUGAGACCUUUAUCUGAAAAGGAACCUGCAAUCCUAGAAAAGAGGUGGAGGCAGGCUUGAUUCAGUUAAGGAAGUUCUUUCUUCUCAGCAAUUACCACGCCAAUUCUGUGGAAAAGCAACAUUUGGAAGACGAGAGAAAUCCACUGUAGGAAGUAUUAGAAAUACCUGCAAUUAGGCUUCAAACAAGCAAAUGAGGCAGGUCUAUUCCCCAGGCCUAACAAGUCUUUGAGGUAUUGUGCACAGAAACAAAGUUUUUUUUUUUUUUUGAGAUGAAGUCUUACUCUGUCACCCAGGCUGGAGUGCAGUGGCAUUAUCUCGGCUCACUGCAACCUCCGCCUCCCAGGUUCAAGUGAUUCACCUGCCUCAGCCUCCCGAGUAGUUGGGAUUUCAGGCGUGUGACACCAUGCCUGUCUAAUUUUUGAACUUUGAGUAGAGAUGGGGUUUCACCAAGUUGUCCAGGCUGGUCUCGAACUCCUGACCUCAGGUGAUCUGCCCGCCUCAGCCUCCCAAAGUGAUGGGAUUACAGGCGUGAGUCACUGUGCCCAGUCAAAACCAGGUUCUGAUGUACAUCCUUGCACGCCUUUUUUGUGGCACAGAGCAAGUGGUAACCAGGUAACUUCCCUGGCCCUCUGCAUACAUGAAGGAAAUGAGAAUGUAGGUGCCUGAGGCCCUACAGACACUACUGCCUUAGGGAUAAGGGGCGGGGGAGGGGCGCUCAUGGGGGGACGCACUGAGGGCCAGGCCUGUGCCAGCCGCUUUACAUUAUUCAGAGUUUAAGUCUCACACCGACCCCUGAGCUGCUGGCUCUUCCCUUUUCAGGGCAGGAAAAGUAAAUGACGACAGCCUGUGUCCUCUCCAUGACACCACUCUGCCUCCAUGGAACCACUCUGCCCCCAUGGAUCUCUCCAGUUUUAAGUCUGGGGAAAUCUAUCAAUCACACAAUUUCAGUUAGCAUUCCAAGAACUAGGGGAAGGCCCGAGUAAUCUAUUCAAAGACAUGCUUCAGAAAGAACACACCGACCCCAUGGAGAGUUAAACCUGAUUACCAAGAAGCAGGAUAGUUAGGUGUUUCCGCUAUUUACAUAAUCAUUGUAAAUAUAAGUUACAGACUAAUUACAAUGAUAAUUAUGACAAUGAGCCUGGC